GGAAGAUUAGCUUAACGGGUAAAGCUAGGGCACUGACGUGUGAACUAUAUGUUCUUGUGUCAAUGCCCAAGUUGUAGGUUCGAGUCCUGCAUCUUCCU
rnacentral:tRNA from 1 species